rnacentral:misc_RNA from 1 species
UGGAAAUCCUGAUAAAGCUAAGCAUGCUAUGUUUGUUACUCUCAAGCUAUCUGUUCUUCUUGCCAUUGCAGUUGAUUUGGCUCUAUUUUUAGGUCAUGAUGUCUGGGCUAGCCUAUUCAGUGAUAGCGCGGAGAUAGUUAACAAAUUUGCCUCCAUGACACCUCUCCUCUUGAUCUCCUUUGUGUUCGAUUUCAUUCAAGGAAUCCUCUCAGGGGUUACUAGGGGUUGUGGAUGGCAACAUUUGGCUAUGUGCAUCAACUUGGCGACAUUUUAUUUCAUCGGCAUGCCAAUAGCCGGCCUCCUUGCUUUCAUGUUCAACCUACA